rnacentral:rRNA from 1 species
GAUGAACGCUAGCUACAGGCUUAACACAUGCAAGUCGAGGGGAAACGCCAUCGAAAGCUUGCUUUUGAUGGGCGUCGACCGGCGCACGGGUGAGUAACGCGUAUCCAACCUGCCCACCACUUGGGGAUAACCUUGCGAAAGUAAGACUAAUACCCAAUGACGUCUCUAGAAGACAUCUGAAAGAGAUUAAAGAUUUAUCGGUGAUGGAUGGGGAUGCGUCUGAUUAGCUUGUUGGCGGGGUAACGGCCCACCAAGGCGACGAUCAGUAGGGGUUCUGAGAGGAAGGUCCCCCAAAGUGGAACUGAGACACGGUCCAAACUCCUACGGGAGGCAGCAGUGAGGAAUAUUGGUCAAUGGACGAGAGUCUGAACCAGCCAAGUAGCGUGCAGGAUGACGGCCCUAUGGGUUGUAAACUGCUUUUAUAAGGGAAUAAAGUGAGUCUCGUGAGACUUUUUGCAUGUACCUUAUGAAUAAGGACCGGCUAAUUCCGUG